rnacentral:rRNA from 1 species
UACGUAGGGAGCGAGCGUUGUCCGGAUUCAUUGGGCGUAAAGAGCUCGUAGGCGGCUUGGUAAGUCGGAUGUGAAACCUCCAGGCUCAACCUGGAGUCGCCAUCCGAUACUGCCAUGGCUAGAGUCCGGUAGGGGCCCACGGAAUUCCUGGUGUAGCGGUGAAAUGCGCAGAUAUCAGGAGGAACACCUGUGGCGAAAGCGGCUCACUGGACCACAACUGACGCUGAGGCGCGAAAGCUAGGGGAGCAAACAGG